CCUACGGGUGGCAGCAGUGAGGAAUAUUGGUCAAUGGGCGUAAGCCUGAACCAGCCAAGUCGCGUGAGGGAUGAAGGUUCUAUGGAUCGUAAACCUCUUUUAUACUGGAAUAAAGUGUGGGACGAGUCCUGUUUUGUCUGUACCUUAUGAAUAAGGAUCGGCUAACUCCGUGCCAGCAGCCGCGGUAAUACGGAGAAUCCGAGCGUUAUCCGGAUUUAUUGGGUUUAAAGGGUGCGUAGGCGGCCUUUUAAGUCAGCGGUGAAAGUCUGUGGCUCAACCAUAGAAUUGCCGUUGAAACUGGGAGGCUUGAGUAUGUUUGAGGCAGGCGGAAUGCGUGGUGUAGCGGUGAAAUGCUUAGAUAGCACGCAGAACCCCGAUUGCGAAGGCAGCCUGCCAAGCCAUGACUGACGCUGAUGCACGAAAGCGUGGGGAUCAAACAGGAUUAGAUACCCUUGUAGUC
rnacentral:rRNA from 1 species